UACGUAGGGUCCGAGCGUUGUCCGGAAUUAUUGGGCGUAAAGGGCUCGUAGGCGGUUUGUCACGUCGGGCGUGAAAACUCAGGGCUCAACCCUGAGCGUGCGUUCGAUGACGGGCAGACUAGAGGUAUGCAGGGGAGAACGGAAUUCCUGGUGUAGCGGUGAAAUGCGCAGAUAUCAGGAGGAACACCGGUGGCGAAGGCGGGUCUCUGGGCCGAUACUGACGCUGAGGAGCGAAAGCGUGGGAGCAAACAGG
rnacentral:rRNA from 1 species